rnacentral:rRNA from 1 species
AAAUUGAAGAGUUUGAUCAUGGCUCAGAUUGAACGCUGGCGGCAGGCCUAACACAUGCAAGUCGAGCGGUAGCACAGAGAGCUUGCUCUCGGGUGACGAGCGGCGGACGGGUGAGUAAUGUCUGGGAAACUGCCUGAUGGAGGGGGAUAACUACUGGAAACGGUAGCUAAUACCGCAUAACGUCGCAAGACCAAAGUGGGGGACCUUCGGGCCUCAUGCCAUCAGAUGUGCCCAGAUGGGAUUAGCUAGUAGGUGGGGUAACGGCUCACCUAGGCGACGAUCCCUAGCUGGUCUGAGAGGAUGACCAGCCACACUGGAACUGAGACACGGUCCAGACUCCUACGGGAGGCAGCAGUGGGGAAUAUUGCACAAUGGGCGCAAGCCUGAUGCAGCCAUGCCGCGUGUGUGAAGAAGGCCUUCGGGUUGUAAAGCACUUUCAGCGGGGAGGAAGGCGUUAAGGUUAAUAACCUUAGCGAUUGACGUUACCCGCAGAAGAAGCACCGGCUAACUCCGUGCCAGCAGCCGCGGUAAUACGGAGGGUGCAAGCGUUAAUCGGAAUUACUGGGCGUAAAGCGCACGCAGGCGGUCUGUCAAGUCGGAUGUGAAAUCCCCGGGCUCAACCUGGGAACUGCAUUCGAAACUGGCA